rnacentral:rRNA from 1 species
UACGGGGGGUGCAAGCGUUGUCCGGAAUCAUUGGGCGUAAAGCGUUCGUAGGCGGCAAGGUAAGUCUGAUGUUAAAGCCCGGGGCUCAACUCCGGUUCGGCAUUGGAUACUAUCUAGCUAGAAUGUGGUAGAGGUAAAGGGAAUUCCUGGUGUAGCGGUGAAAUGCGUAGAUAUAAGGAAGAACACCAGUGGCGAAGGCGGAUUACUGGACGAUAACUGACGGUGAGGCGCGAAAGCGUGGGGAGCAAACAGG